ACGAACGCUGGCGGCUGCUUAACACAUGCAAGUCGAACGGAGUGGCGAACGGUUGAGUAACGCGUGAGCAACCUGCCUAUGACAGUGGGAUAGCCUCGGGAAACCGGGAUUAAUACCGCAUAGUCAUGGAUGGGCUCGCGUCUGAUUAGAUGGUUGGUGAGAUAACAGCCCACCAAGGCGACGAUCAGUAGCCGGGCAGGGAGGAUGAGCGGCCACAUUGAAGCUGGGACACGGUGCAAACUCUUACGGGAGGCAGCAAUGGGGAAUAUUGCACAAUGGGGGAAACCCUGAUGCAGCGAGGCCGCGUGAACGAAGAAGGUAUUCGUAUCGUAAAGUUCUGUCCUAUGGGAAGCAGUACCAUAGAAGAAAGCUCCGGCUAAAUACGUGCCAGCAGCCGCGGUAAUAC
rnacentral:rRNA from 1 species